CUAGGUACAGAUUUUCAACUGUGCCUCCACAAGCUCUUCCUCAUGUGAACCCUCAAAUACUGCAGAUGAGUUACAUCAGUGAAGGUGAUUCUCGGAGGAGGUAUUUGAUUUCCACAUCCCGCUUGGACGUUGAUGGGGGCCAAGAGGACUGAUAUACUGGGAAACUGGCUGCAUGCUGACAGAGGCUGGCUGUUUAUGAGGUGUGACAUGGGCCACAGAGGAAGGAUGAAACUGGAAGGAAACGAGCUUGGACGCUCUGUGGGACGCCUGUCCCAGGACUGGGGUCUGUCCCUGGCAGAGAAGCGUUUCCGUGGAUGGGCUCUGUGCCUGUGGGGGUUCCUGGCUGCUGUGCUGGGGUGCACUCACCACUGCCUUCAACCGCAGGGCCCCAGUGAAAGCGCAAACCUCGUGUGUUGCGCUGCAGUGGGGUUGCAGUCGCUGAUGGCAGCGUGA
rnacentral:lncRNA from 1 species